rnacentral:rRNA from 1 species
AGCAGCCGCGGUAGUUCCAGCUCCAAUAGCGUAUAUUAAAGUUGUUGCAGUUAAAAGCUCGUAGUUGAAUUUCGGGGUUAGUACGCUGGUCGUGCCUUUGGUAUGUACUGGUGUUACUGAUUCCUACCUUCUGACGAACCGUCAUGUCAUUAAUUUGGUGUGGCGGGGAAUCAGGACUGUUACUUUGAAAAAUUAGAGUGUUUAAAGCAGGCUCGCGCUUGAAUACAUUAGCAUGGAAUAAUGAAAUAGGACGUUCGAUCCUAUUUUGUUGGUUUCUAGGAUUGACGUAAUGAUUAAUAGGGAUAGUUGGGGGCAUUAGUAUUCAAUUGUCAGAGGUGAAAUUCUUGGAUUUAUUGAAGACUAACUACUGCGAAAGCAUUUGCCAAGGAUGUUUUCAUUAAUCAAGAACGAAAGUUAGGGAUCGAAGACGAUCAG